rnacentral:rRNA from 1 species
UACGGAGGAUUCGAGCGUUAUCUGGAUUUAUUGGGUUUAAAGGGAGCGUAGGCGGGUUGUUAAGUCAGUUGUGAAAGUUUGCGGCUCAACCGUAAAAUUGCAGUUGAUACUGGCAUCCUUGAGUACAGUAGAGGUAGGCGGAAUUCGUGGUGUAGCGGUGAAAUGCUUAGAUAUCACGAAGAACUCCGAUUGCGAAGGCAGCCUGCUGGACUGUAACUGACGCUGAUGCUCGAAAGUGUGGGUAUCAAACAGG